rnacentral:rRNA from 1 species
GCUUUGAAGCGGGGACGCCAGUUCGCGUGGAGCCAUCCUUGAAAUACCACCCUGGUUCAUUUGAGGUUCUAACCUUGGUCCGUUAUCCGGAUCGGGGACAGUGCAUGGUAGGCAGUUUGACUGGGGCGGUCUCCUCCCAAAGUGUAACGGAGGAGUUCGAAGGUACGCUAGGUACGGUCGGACAUCGUGCUAAUAGUGCAAUGGCAUAAGCGUGCUUAACUGCGAGAC